AUACGAAGGGUGCAAGCGUUACUCGGAAUCACUGGGCGUAAAGCGCGCGCAGGCGGUCUUUUAAGUUGGAUGUGAAAGCCUACGGCUCAACCGUAGAACUGCAUCCAAAACUAUUAGACUAGAGUGUGGGAGAGGAAGAUGGAAUUAGUUGUGUAGGGGUAAAAUCCGUAGAGAUAACUAGGAAUACCAAAAGCGAAGGCAAUCUUCUGGAACACUACUGACGCUGAGGCGCGAAAGCGUGGGGAGCAAACAGGAUUAGAUACCCUAGUAGUCC
rnacentral:rRNA from 1 species